rnacentral:piRNA from 1 species
UCCUGUGCAAUUUUGGGAUUU